rnacentral:misc_RNA from 1 species
AAAAAAAAAAAAAAAAAAGUAGAAUUAUGUUGCCAGUAUCAUUCGACAGCUUAAAGGACUAUACCAUGGACUUCCUUUAUGAUCUUACUGCCUCUGCUCCGCCUCUACAUGCAUUUAUCAAUUUCUUCUUUGUCCCCAUUGUAUGCACACUAGGUUCCUACUUCCUAGUAUAACUAAACAAAAGUGCUACAUAGCUAUUCUUGAGCAAGACGGAAGUCCGGUGAAUGUUCAACUUACCAGCAU